AUACGUAGGUGGCAAGCGUUGUCCGGAUUUACUGGGCGUAAAGGAUGUGUAGGCGGAUAUUUAAGUGAGAUGUGAAAUCCCCCGGGCUUAACUUGGGGGCUGCAUUUCAAACUGGAUGUCUAGAGUGCAGGAGAGGAAAGCAGAAUUCCUAGUGUAGCGGUGAAAUGCGUAGAGAUUAGGAAGAAUACCAGUGGCGAAGGCGGCUUUCUGGACUGUAACUGACGCUGAGGCUCGAAAGCGUGGGUAGC
rnacentral:rRNA from 1 species